GUGGGGAAUAUUGGACAAUGGGCGAAAGCCUGAUCCAGCCACGCCGCGUGUGUGAUGAAGGCCUUCGGGUCGUAAAGCACUGUGGGGAAGGACGAAUCAAUGACGGUACUUCCUUAGCAAGCACCGGCUAACUCCGUGCCAGCAGCCGCGGUAAUACGGAGGGUGCAAACGUUGCUCGGAAUCAUUGGGCGUAAAGCGCACGUAGGCGGUUGGGUGUGUCGGAUGUGAAAGCCCUCGGCUUAACUGGGGAAGCGCAUCUGAAACUAUCCGGCUUGAAUACGGGAGAGGGUAGCGGAAUUCCCGGUGUAGAGGUGAAAUUCGUAGAUAUCGGGAGGAACACCAGUGGCGAAGGCGGCUACCUGGACCGAUAUUGACGCUGAGGUGCGAAAGCGUGGGGAGCAAACAGGAUUAGAAACCCGGGUAGUCC
rnacentral:rRNA from 1 species